GAGGUGAUCUUUCCGCAUACAGAGUGAAGGCUGUCCGCAGCUGGAGUAUUUUAUUACCCUUGUCUUUUGCGCACUUGUUGUUUCCUGGGCGGGUUCGCUCGCCACCAGGACCACCAAAUAAACCUUUUUUAUGCAGUUGCAAUCAGCGUCAGUACAAACAAUGUAAAUCAUUUACAACUUUCAACAACGGAUCUCUUGGUUCUGGCAUCGAUGAAGAACGCAGCGAAAUGCGAUACGUAGUGUGAAUUGCAGAAUUCAGUGAAUCAUCGAAUCUUUGAACGCACAUUGCGCCCUUUGGUAUUCCAAAGGGCAUGCCUGUUCGAGCGUCAUUUGUACCCUCAAGCUUUGCUUGGUGUUGGGCGUUUUUGUCUUUGGUCGCCCAAAGACUCGCCUUAAAGUGAUUGGCAGCCGGCCUUUCUGGUUUCGCAGCGCAGCACAUUUUUGCGCUUGCCAUCAGCAAAACGGCAAUCCAUCAAGCCUCCUUCUCACGUUUGACCUCGGAUCAGGUAGGGAUACCCGCUGAACUUAAGCAUAUCAUUAAAGCGGAGGAAAUUCCGUAGGAAAACCUGUGGAGGCGUCCGCUCUGGAGGAUGAAUUACUUGUCUUUGCCAUUGUUGUUUCGGGCGGUUCUCCACCGCACAAAAACUUUUUUUGGGGCAUCGCCCACAAGGAAAUUCACUCAGGUCUGGGUUGGUUAAUAAAACAAAAAU
rnacentral:rRNA from 1 species